UAAGGAAUAUUGCUCAAUGGGAGAAAUCCUGAAGCAGCAACGCCGCGUGGAGGAUGAAGGGUCUAUGACUUGUAAACUCCUGUAAAGAAGGAAAAAAUUCCCAUUAGAUGGGAGAUGAUGGUACUUCUGGAGUAAGCCCCGGCUAACUACGUGCCAGCAGCCGCGGUAAUACGUAGGGGGCAAGCGUUGUCCGGAUUUACUGGGUGUAAAGGGUGCUCAGGCGGAUUUGUAAGUCAGAGGUGAAAUCUUACAGCUUAACUGUGAAACUGCCUUUGAUACUGCAAGCCUAGAGUAUGGAAGAGAGUGAUGGAAUAUCUGGUGUAGCAGUGAAGUGCGUAGAUAUCAGAUAGAACACCAAUGGCGAAGGCAGUCACUUGGUCCAUUACUGACGCUAAAGCACGAAAGCGUGGGUAGCAAACA
rnacentral:rRNA from 1 species